AGUUAGUGGAGGAGGAUGGGUUCAGCCAGGCCUGCACUGAGAAGGAUGUGUUCACCUUGACAGGGCCCUGUGCUAAUCACGAGUCUUUCCUGUUCAGAGCAGUGAGGCCUGAGACCCUCAACAGUGCUGUGUGUACAGAAGGCCCCCAGAAUCCACACAAAGGGGCCGCCUGAAACCUAGAGCAUUUGUGAAGGAGGAAAAUGGAAGGAACAACUGGAUGUUGUAAAUGUUUCUCAUCUGGCCUUAAAAUCCAUGAAAGCUGGAAAAUCACAAGGCAUCUGUGCACAUACUGGUGGAUUUUAAUGAGAGUCCUGUGUUUGGAGCACCAGAAAUAAACCAGCUUCAGAAGCAAAGAUCUGAACGUCUAUGACACUCUUUCGAGCUGACACAGUGAAGAACAUGGAAGGAGAACUCACCCAGUCUGCCAGGUUAGGAUGUGGUGGGGGCUGCUUGGGGGGGUGGCUCCAAUUUCACUUGACGGUGUCGAGCUUCUCUGGC
rnacentral:lncRNA from 1 species